AUGCUCGCUCCAGCAGCACAUACACUGAAGUUGGAACGAUACAGAGACGGUUAGCAUGGCCCCUGCGCAAGGAUGCCACGCAGGUUCGUGAAGCAUUCCAUAUUAAA
ensembl:snRNA U6 U6 spliceosomal RNA